rnacentral:rRNA from 1 species
GUUUGAUCCUGGCUCAGGACGAACGCUGUCGGCGCGCCUAAAACAUGCAAGUCGAACGAGAUACCCGGGCUUGCCCGGGUGGACAGUGGCGAACGGGUGAGUAACACGUGAGGAACCUGCCCCGAAGACCGCGGACAACACCGGGAAACCGGUGCUAAUACCGGAUGCCCUCACCGGACCGCAUGAUCCGGUGAGGAAAUGGAUUCCGCUUCGGGAUGGCCUCGCGGCCUAUCAGCUAGUUGGUGGGGUAACGGCCCACCAAGGCGACGACGGGUAGCUGGUCUGAGAGGAUGUCCAGCCACACUGGGACUGAGACACGGCCCAGACUCCUACGGGAGGCAGCAGUUAGGAAUCUUGCGCAAUGGACGAAAGUCUGACGCAGCGACGCCGCGUGCGGGAUGAAUGCCUUCGGGUUGUAAACCGCUUUCAGCAGGGACGAAAUUGACGGUACCUGCAGAAGAAGCCCCGGCCAACUACGUGCCAGCAGCCGCGGUAAUACGUAGGGGGCAAGCGUUGUCCGGAUUUAUUGGGCGUAAAGAGCUCGUAGGCGGUUUGGCAAGUCGGAUGUGAAAUCUCCAGGCUCAACCUGGAGGGGUCAUUCGAAACUGCUAUGACUAGAGUUCGGUAGAGGAGUGUGGAAUUCCUGGUGGAGCGGUGAAAUGCGCAGAUAUCAGGAGGAACACCCGUAGCGAAGGCGGCACUCUGGGCCGAUACUGACGCUGAGGAGCGAAAGCGUGGGGAGCGAACAGGAUUAGAUACCCUGGUAGUCCACGCCGUAAACGUUGGGCACUAGGUGUGGGGUUCUAUCGACGGAUUCCGUGCCGUAACUAACGCAUUAAGUGCCCCG